UGGUCUUAGCUUGCUAAGGCCGAUGGCGACCGGCGCACGGGUGAGUAACACGUAUCCAACCUGCCGUCUACUCUUGGACAGCCUUCUGAAAGGAAGAUUAAUACAAGAUGGCAUCAUGAGUCCGCAUGUUCACAUGAUUAAAGGUAUUCCGGUAGACGAUGGGGAUGCGUUCCAUUAGGUUGUUGGCGGGGUAACGGCCCACCAAGCCUUCGAUGGAUAGGGGUUCUGAGAGGGUGAUCGGCCACAUUGGGACUGAGACACGGCCCAAACUCC
rnacentral:rRNA from 1 species